AGUGAACGCUGGCGGUAGGCCUAACACAUGCAAGUCGAACGGCAGCACAGUAAGAGCUUGCUCUUACGGGUGGCGAGUGGCGGACGGGUGAGGAAUACAUCGGAAUCUACUUUUUCGUGGGGGAUAACGUAGGGAAACUUACGCUAAUACCGCAUACGACCUACGGGUGAAAGCAGGGGAUCUUCGGACCUUGCGCGAUUGAAUUAGCCGAUGUCGGAUUAGCUAGUUGGCGGGGUAAAGGCCCACCAAGGCGCCGAUCCGUAGCUGGUCUGAGAGGAUGAUCAGCCACACUGGAACUGAGACACGGUCCAGACUCCUACGGGAGGCAGCAGUGGGGAAUAUUGGACAAUGGGCGCAAGCCUGAUCCAGCCAUACCGAGUGGGUGAAGAAGGCCUUCGGGUUGUAAAGCCCUUUUGUUGGGAAAGAAAAGCAGCAGGUUAAUACCCCGCUGUUCUGACGGUACCCAAAGAAUAAGCACCGGCUAACUUCGUG
rnacentral:rRNA from 1 species